ensembl:snoRNA
UUUCAAUGAUGAUAAAUUUGUCCAGUUCUGCUACUGAAUGUGUGUGAUAGAUGUCAAUGUUCCAACGCUGAGAA